rnacentral:rRNA from 1 species
CCUACGGGAGGCUGCAGUGAGGAAUAUUGGUCAAUGGACGAGAGUCUGAACCAGCCAAGUAGCGUGAAGGAUGACUGCCCUAUGGGUUGUAAACUUCUUUUAUAUGGGAAUAAAACGUUCCACGUGUGGGAUUUUGUAUGUACCAUAUGAAUAAGGAUCGGCUAACUCCGUGCCAGCAGCCGCGGUAAUACGGAGGAUCCGAGCGUUAUCCGGAUUUAUUGGGUGUAAAGGGAGCGUAGGUGGAUUGUUAAGUCAGUUGUGAAAGUUUGCGGCUCAACCGUAAAAUUGCAGUUGAAACUGGCAGUCUUGAGUACAGUAGAGGUGGGCGGAAUUCGUGGUGUAGCGGUGAAAUGCUUAGAUAUCACGAAGAACUCCGAUUGCGAAGGCAGUUCACUGGACUGCAACUGACACUGAGGCUCGAAAGUGUGGGUAUCAAACAGGAGUAGAUACCCCAGUAGUG